rnacentral:rRNA from 1 species
ACGUAGGGCGCAAGCGUUGUCCGGAAUUAUUGGGCGUAAAGAGCUCGUAGGCGGUUUGUCGCGUCUGCUGUGAAAGCCCGGGGCUCAACCCCGGGUCUGCAGUGGGUACGGGCAGACUAGAGUGCAGUAGGGGAGACUGGAAUUCCUGGUGUAGCGGUGAAAUGCGCAGAUAUCAGGAGGAGCCACGAGUGGA